ACUAUCGUUAACUGAAUACAUAGGUUAACGAGGCGAACCGGGGGAACUGAAACAUCUAAGUACCCCGAGGAAAAGAAAUCAACCGAGAUUCCCCCAGUAGCGGCGAGCGAACGGGGAGCAGCCCAGAGUCUGAAUCAGCUUGUGUGUUAGUGGAACGGUCUGGAAAGUCCGACGGUACAGGGUGAUAGUCCCGUACACCAAAAUGCACAGGCUGUGAACUCGAAGAGUAGGGCGGGACACGUGGUAUCCUGUCUGAAUAUGGGGGGACCAUCCUCCAAGGCUAAAUACUCCUGACUGACCGAUAGUGAACCAGUACCGUGAGGGAAAGGCGAAAAGAACCCCGGCGAGGGGAGUGAAAAAGAACCUGAAACCGUGUACGUACAAGCAGUGGGAGCACCUUCGGGUGUGACUGCGUACCUUUUGUAUAAUGGGUCAGCGACUUAUAUUCUGUAGCAAGGUUAACCGUAUAGGGGAGCCGCAGGGAAACCGAGUCUUAACUGGGCGUUAAGUUGCAGGGUAUAGACCCGAAACCCGGUGAUCUAGCCAUGGGCAGGUUGAAGGUUGGGUAACACUAACUGGAGGACCGAACCGACUAAUGUUGAAAAAUUAGCGGAUGACUUGUGGCUGGGGGUGAAAGGCCAAUCAAACCGGGAGAUAGCUGGUUCUCCCCGAAAGCUAUUUAGGUAGCGCCUCGUGAACUCAUCUUCGGGGGUAGAGCACUGUUUCGGCUAGGGGGUCAUCCCGACUUACCAACCCGAUGCAAACUACGAAUACCGAAGAAUGUUAUCACGGGAGACACACGGCGGGUGCUAACGUCCGUCGUGAAGAGGGAAACAACCCAGACCGCCAGCUAAGGUCCCAAAGUCAUGGUUAAGUGGGAAACGAUGUGGGAAGGCACAGACAGCCAGGAUGUUGGCUUAGAAGCAGCCAUCAUUUAAAGAAAGCGUAAUAGCUCACUGGUCGAGUCGGCCUGCGCGGAAGAUGUAACGGGGCUAAACCAUGCACCGAAGCUGCGGCAGCGACACUAUGUGUUGUUGGGUAGGGGAGCGUUCUGUAAGCCUGCGAAGGUGACCUGUGAGGGUUGCUGGAGGUAUCAGAAGUGCGAAUGCUGACAUAAGUAACGAUAAAGCGGGUGAAAAGCCCGCUCGCCGGAAGACCAAGGGUUCCUGUCCAACGUUAAUCGGGGCAGGGUGAGUCGACCCCUAAGGCGAGGCCGAAAGGCGUAGUCGAUGGGAAACAGGUUAAUAUUCCUGUACUUGGUGUUACUGCGAAGGGGGGACGGAGAAGGCUAUGUUAGCCGGGCGACGGUUGUCCCGGUUUAAGCAUGUAGGCUGGUUAUCCAGGCAAAUCCGGAUAAUCAAGGCUGAGGUGUGAUGACAAGGCACUACGGUGCUGAAGUAACAAAUGCCCUGCUUCCAGGAAAAGCCUCUAAGCAUCAGGUAACAUCAAAUCGUACCCCAAACCGACACAGGUGGUCAGGUAGAGAAUACCAAGGCGCUUGAGAGAACUCGGGUGAAGGAACUAGGCAAAAUGGUGCCGUAACUUCGGGAGAAGGCACGCUGGUGUGUAGGUGAAGUCCCUGCGGAUGGAGCUGAGACCAGUCGAAGAUACCAGCUGGCUGCAACUGUUUAUUAAAAACACAGCACUGUGCAAACACGAAAGUGGACGUAUACGGUGUGACGCCUGCCCGGUGCCGGAAGGUUAAUUGAUGGGGUUAUCCGUAAGGAGAAGCUCUUGAUCGAAGCCCCGGUAAACGGCGGCCGUAACUAUAACGGUCCUAAGGUAGCGAAAUUCCUUGUCGGGUAAGUUCCGACCUGCACGAAUGGCGUAAUGAUGGCCAGGCUGUCUCCACCCGAGACUCAGUGAAAUUGAACUCGCUGUGAAGAUGCAGUGUACCCGCGGCAAGACGGAAAGACCCCGUGAACCUUUACUAUAGCUUGACACUGAACAUUGAGCCUUGAUGUGUAGGAUAGGUGGGAGGCUUUGAAGCGUGGACGCCAGUCUGCGUGGAGCCAACCUUGAAAUACCACCCUUUAAUGUUUGAUGUUCUAACGUUGGCCCCUGACCGGGGUUGCGGACAGUGUCUGGUGGGUAGUUUGACUGGGGCGGUCUCCUCCCAAAGCGUAACGGAGGAGCACGAAGGUUAGCUAAUCCUGGUCGGACAUCAGGAGGUUAGUGCAAUGGCAUAAGCUAGCUUGACUGCGAGCGUGACGGCGCGAGCAGGUGCGAAAGCAGGUCAUAGUGAUCCGGUGGUUCUGAAUGGAAGGGCCAUCGCUCAACGGAUAAAAGGUACUCCGGGGAUAACAGGCUGAUACCGCCCAAGAGUUCAUAUCGACGGCGGUGUUUGGCACCUCGAUGUCGGCUCAUCACAUCCUGGGGCUGAAGUAGGUCCCAAGGGUAUGGCUGUUCGCCAUUUAAAGUGGUACGCGAGCUGGGUUUAGAACGUCGUGAGACAGUUCGGUCCCUAUCUGCCGUGGGCGCUGGAGAAUUGAGGGGGGCUGCUCCUAGUACGAGAGGACCGGAGUGGACGCAUCACUGGUGUUCGGGUUGUCAUGCCAAUGGCACUGCCCGGUAGCUAAAUGCGGAAGAGAUAAGUGCUGAAAGCAUCUAAGCACGAAACUUGCCCCGAGAUGAGUUCU
rnacentral:rRNA from 1 species